rnacentral:rRNA from 1 species
AGAACCUGAAACCGUGUGCCUACAACAAGUUCGAGCCCGUUAAUGGGUGAGAGCGUGCCUUUUGUAGAAUGAACCGGCGAGUUACGUUAUGAUGCGAGGUUAAGUUGAAGAGACGGAGCCGUAGGGAAACCGAGUCUGAAUAGGGCGCCUUAGUAUCAUGACGUAGACCCGAAACCAUGUGACCUACCCAUGAGCAGGUUGAAGGUGCGGUAAGACGCACUGGAGGACCGAACCAGGGCACGUUGAAAAGUGCUUGGAUGACUUGUGGGUAGCGGAGAAAUUCCAAACGAACUUGGAGAUAGCUGGUUCUCUCCGAAAUAGCUUUAGGGCUAGCGUCGACAUUAGAGAUUCUUGGAGGUAGAGCACUGUUUGGGUGAGGGGUCCAUCCCGGAUUACCAAUCUCAGAUAAACUCCGAAUGCCAAUGAAUUAUGGUCGGCAGUCAGACUGCGAGUGCUAAGAUCCGUAGUCGAAAGGGAAACAGCCCAGACCACCAGCUAAGGUCCCAAAAUAAUUGUUAAGUGGAAAAGGAUGUGGGGUUGCACAGACAACUAGGAUGUUAGCUUAGAAGCAGCUAUUCAUUCAAAGAGUGCGUAAUAGCUCACUAGUCGAGUGACCCUGCGCCGAAAAUGUACCGGGGCUAAAACAAUUUACCGAAGCUGUGGAUACCUUUAUAGGUAUGGUAGGAGAGCGUUCUAUGUGUGAUGAAGGUAUACCGUGAGGAGUGCUGGAACGCAUAGAAGUGAGAAUGCCGGUAUGAGUAGCGAAAGACAGGUGAGAAUCCUGUCCACCGUAAGACUAAGGUUUCCAGGGGAAGGCUCGUCCGCCCUGGGUUAGUCGGGACCUAAGGAGAGACCGAAAGGUGUAUCCGAUGG